GUGGGGUGGCAAGCGUUGUCCGGAAUUAUUGGGCGUAAAGCGCGCGCAGGCGGGUUUUUGGGGUCUGAUGUGAAAGCCCACGGCUCAACCGUGGAGGGUCAUUGGAAACUGGGGGACUUGAGUACAGAAGAGGAAAGCGGAAUUCCAAGUGUAGCGGUGAAAUGCGUAGAGAUUUGGAGGAACACCAGUGGCGAAGGCGGCUUUCUGGUCUGUAACUGACGCUGAGGCGCGAAAGCGUGGGGAGCAAACAGGAUUAGAUACCCUGGUAGUCCACGCCGUAAACGAUGAGUGCUAAGUGUUAGGGGGUUUCCGCCCCUUAGUGCUGCAGCUAACGCAUUAAGCACUCCGCCUGGGGAGUACGGCCGCAAGGCUG
rnacentral:rRNA from 1 species